UACGUAGGGGGCAAGCGUUGUCCGGAUUUAUUGGGCGUAAAGAGCGUGUAGGCGGCCAGGUAGGUCCGUUGUGAAAACUCGAGGCUCAACCUCGAGACGUCGACGGAAACCAUCUGGCUAGAGUCCGGAAGAGGAGAGUGGAAUUCCUGGUGUAGCGGUGAAAUGCGCAGAUAUCAGGAAGAACACCCGUGGCGAAGGCGGCUCACUGGACCACAACUGACGCUGAGGCGCGAAAGCUAGGGGAGCAAACAGG
rnacentral:rRNA from 1 species